rnacentral:tRNA from 1 species
ACCUGGGUGGCUCAGUCGGUUGAGCAUCUGACUUUGGUUCAGGUCAUGAUCUGAAGGUCCGAGAGUUCGAGCCCCGCAUCAGGUU